rnacentral:tRNA from 1 species
GAAAUAUAAGUAUUUAAUACGUUUGAUUUCCAAUCAGAAAUAAGGUAAAUUUUU